UAUUCAUUGAACUGAAAGAACAGAUCAUCUACUUGAGGCAGUGGGCAGCAUGUGGAAAUUAUAUUAGAACAUCAACAGAGUGCACAGCUCCGUCCCAGAGAAGCCGGCACUCAGACUGACAGGCAAAUAAACCAGCUUGUGAAGGGGCCUCUGGGUGGCAGCUCUGGGCUUUUGGUUGUUGGACAACUAUAGUCAAAACUGAAAUGGAACAGGGGGCAGAAAAUAACAUACUUUUACUCUACGCAACUGUUGCUUUCAUAUGAUUUUUGGAAAUACCACUGGGAUAAUUGUCCAAAUAAAAAUCCAAGCAUUUGGAGUGAUUAUCGAUAAUUAAAGCGAUAGUAUAAAUGGAAAACUCCAAAAUAACAGAACUGCUUCUGAGAUGAAGAUUCCCAAUGUCAGGAUUUAAACAGAGAAGAGAAAGAAUUACACAGCAAACAGACCAGAGCAGGGUUGACCGUCUCACUGAGGCGUAUACAGUGAGGAAAGGACUUUCAAAACACCUCGGGAUAAAUAACAGAUGAAUUCUCGAAACUGCUAAUCUCAAUUAUCCUUAAUGGUUAAAUAAGAAAACAUUUUGCUCGACUAUAAAGGGGAACACUUAAAAUGGAUAUGAGACAUGAAGAAAGUGAUCAUAGGAGAAAAUCAUCUCAGUGCAUCAGAGGGAACCAGUAGGGAGUCCACAUGCUCAAGCUCCCUAGGCUCAACCAGAGAGUUACUCAUCCAGUCCGGGAGAAGUCACAGGUAUUCUGUAACCAGUUCUUGAUCCACCAUGAUCCUUCCUCCCAAAGAGGAGCUUUCUGCUGUCUCACGAGGUCCCUAGAAUUCUACAUAUAUGAACAUGACUUUGGUGAACAGAAAAUCAAGAAUCCCAACACCAUUGACAACUUCUGCUUUUCUUCCACCUGUAAAUUGGCAUUUUUUUAGGAAUCUCACCAGAAAAGAACUCCUGGUUUUAACUCCUGGUUUUAUAAUUUGGAUUAUAAUCAAAUUAUAAUCUCAUCUGAGGCUUCUCCAGAACUACCUUAUAAUCUCAUUUAUCAAAAAAGGAAGAAGGAAAUAAAAUGUUUCUCAGUAACCUUUGAGAUGUAAAUAAAUAUAAAUAUCUAAUGCUAAGGCACAUAAGUUCGAAUCUCUCCUGGGAGCCCUUGCCCACACUUGGCUAUGUUGUAUCCCUGGAUCAUUUCUCACUCAAUCCACAUACUUAAAAUCUAUGUUAAAAGUUUCUUCCGAUAAAUGGGGACUUUUCUCUGCGAAGCCCACACUUAGGCUUUCCAGAGUACUUUAGACUCCUGAGCCUUUUCUUUCUAAUAAACCUCAGCACUGCUCCAAACUAUCUUGUUUUGAAACUUUUCUGUGUGGAAACCAAGAAACUGGUUUUAUCUAACUUAGAGUCCCUGAAGGAAUAAAGAAUUUCCUCAGAGUGCUGAGGGCCACAGGGUAGACCAGCACUUCCUUCCCUCCAUUGGACACUAUAUCAAACAUUUUGAUGUAAAAUUUAACAGAUUAUAAAAUUACAGUCAGUCUCAUAAAAUGGAAACUUCUGCUAUAAGCAAACAGAUAAUCAUGGUGAAAUGUACUAAUUAUGAACAUUUAUGAUUUUAUUAUAAAUCAUAUUUUAUAAGCCUUGUUCUUAUAUAUUAAUGCCUCUUGUGAAAUUUUCAUAUUUAAACCUGACAAUGGUCUAGGAAGAACCCAAGAUAACAUGUAGUUAUCAUUUUUAUCAAUAUUAAGUGCAAGUCAUCAUCUUCUGUUUAAUAAUCCACCUUUUUUUUCAAUAUUACCCAUUAUAAAGUAUAAACGAUAAGUGCUUGUCACAGAACAAUCCCUGAACAUAAUUUAGCCAUGUUAGUUAAGCUAAAGUUUUGUGAAUAUAUAAAUAAACUAUUAUAAAAAUAAAAGGAUUUCUCACUACUUUUUACUUGUUUUAUUCCAAGGUAAAUUUUAUGCUAAUUGUAGCUGAGUCAGGCAUUCCAUUCAAGUUCAUAUGAGAUACUGUUAGUAAGAUAGGUUAGUUUUAUGGUACUGACAGAUAGAAAGAAACUUAUCUCUAAGAGACUUAUGUUUAUUCAAGGCAUUCUACUCCUAGUUAAUGUAUGUCUCUAGUAUUACUUGAAUGAUGUUUUUCUAACACUAAAGGAAUAUAUUCUGAGUUCUUUUAUUUCUUUUUUGAAUAUAACUAAAAUUCUUAUCAUUUCUAAAUUUUAUAAUAAAUUAACUGAAGUAGUCACCUAGAGAAGAUAUAAUUAAUUUUCCUGCAAGACCUCCAGUGAGAAUGUAGCCUUUCUGUUGGUCAGUGGGAAAACGUAGGUUUACAAGAGGAUCUAUUUGCAAAGUCAUAGAAAACAUUUUGGUACUGAGAUCAGUGUGGCAUGUUAGCCUAAGCUCCCUUACUUGUCACCAGAGACAAUACAUUUCCUGCUUCUUAUAAUUUUCUAUUUGACAUUAUGAUAAAUCCCUAGGGUGGGUGGGGUCAUAGCUUUAUUAACAAUAAUAUAAAUGGAAGUAAUGAACUGAGAAAUCAAUAAAAUGAGAAAUAUAUAGUAAUUCUAAAUAGCAAAAUUAAAACACAAACUACUGUUAAGUAUUCAGAAUUGAAAAUCAUUAAGUAGACAUAAAAUGACAAAUAACAACAAAAACCUCAACCAAAUUCUAGAUCUAUGUCCUCUGAAAAAUGUACAAAUAUUUAGUACAAUUUGGAGUUAUAUAUAGGAGUUAGCUACAAAACUUCAUUCUGUACUGUCAGACCAUAAUGUUUAUGACCAAACAUUUUGUAGCCCAAAUUCAUAAAUAUGUAUAUUUUUUAAUUUCUGUCCUUCAUGUAGAAUUUUUCACCUAACUGAUUAUCAAUCUUAUUAAAUCACAGCAUUGGGUUUUAUAAAUGAACAAUUUAUAUUUAAAUGUUCUUAUAGGGAAUGUGGAUGAACGAGUUAGUUGGGUUAGGUUACCUUUUUUAGACCUGAAGCUUUUUGGCCAUGUAAUUGGUAAUUGGGCUUCUAAUUCCUCAGAACUCUUUUCUUAUUUGAAAAAAAUAAAACAAAACAAAACAAAAACAACAACAAUAACAACAUAAAGCUGGCAAAUUCUUUUUCUCAAGGGAAGCUUUUGGAAAUAAACCAAAUCACUUAAACUUGAAACACAUCAUACUCAGUCUCCUCCCAUAAUAGCUGAAUGCCUUUGUAAGAUUAACAUUAACUUUUAAGGUAUUAUUUUAUAAAGUAUUAUAAAGCAGUCCAUUAAAAGUUUAUAAACCUAGCAAAUUUUAUUCCAAAUGCCUUAAAGCAAAUUUAGUUUAGUGUGCCCUAUAUUAUUUGGUUUGUUGUAAUUAAUAAAAUACCUCCAUAUUGUUCAGAAAUUCUACCUCUUUAUUGCUUAAGAGAUUUAGGCAGAGACUACUUAAUCAAACCUUAGCUUACAGGUUGCUCUCACUUUGUCACUAGUGAGCAUCAAUGAUACCAAGACCAAAGUGCUUCCUGAAAAUGAGUCAUCACAUUUUCAACAUGGUACAUUCAAGUUUUUCCUUUGAGACAAAAAAAAAAAAAAAA